GAGACCCACCUAGACCCGGCCCUGGUGGCCACGGGACGCAGCGACCCGGCCCUGGUGGCCACGGGACGCAGCGACUCAGCCAGGAAAAGGGAGGUCGGAGAGGGGAAGUCUAGGUGGCUGAAACAACGCUGCCCCGCGGAGAUCGCGGGCCUCAAGGGACUGCCCUCCCAUCCUCCAUCCCCGCAAGGACUAAGGCCAAGCCGCCGCAGCCGCAGCCGCCGCCCCCUCUCCCCUCGUCCCCGGUCCCGGAGGCUCUGGGGUGCUGCUGCCGCUGCAACUUUCUCCUGUGAUACCCCCUCUUUGUUAUGGAGCAGCUGAUCCGCUGACAUCACCCGGCGCCGGUGCGCUCCCUCCCUCGUGAUUGACAGUUCCCUGUCCUUUCCCAGAAGUGAGGAUCCUUAGAACCCAAGGCGCUCCGGGGCUGCGCCGCCUCUUAAGACCAGGCAGUGGGCUGGCCCGGCGGCGUUUACCUUUUGGCUUGGUUCACUGUUCGCCAGCCUCGCGGUCCAGGUCGCCGCCCGCUGUUCGCUAGCGCCGGGGGCCUCGAGGGUACCCGCCUGGGGUGGGUGAAGGACUCGGAGCGCCUGAUCCCCGCGAUGUGCCACCAGGGACUUGGAAAUGCGUCAUGCUGGGUGUUCCUACCACUAUCUCACUCCUGGACAGCUGGAGCGCACUCGGAACUAAGGAAGCCUUUAGUUCCUGAGCUUCUACUUCCUCUUGCCCUAGAGCCCCACUUCACUCGGCUUGCUACUGCCCAGAGUUGCAAAGUGCGGCGGGCCCAGGAGCGCAGGUGCCCCGUCCCCCUUCCACUGCCCAGCGCUGCCUCCACAAGCCAGUUCCCUCGACUCCAGGGGGCGUCCUGCGCCCCGGAUUCCUCCCGACUGAACGUUCUACCCAGGAGUCCCCAGUCUCCAUCUUCUUUCGCAUCUCUAGGCCCCUAGAGAGAUCCAGGAAUUUAUCAAACCCAAAUGGCAGCAAGCUGGUCAUCAGGCCGCACCCGAGCUUUGGCCGAUUCCUUCUCCUUGUCUUGAAGAUGGAGCCACCAAGCGGAGAGCCGGAGCCAAGACCCUGUGUCUAGCGCGCCUCCUUCUCUCGCCUCCGGUCCUGUACUUGUGAUGUCCCUAGAUGUCUCUUUAGUUUCUCCAAGUGCCAAGCACUUCACAGACUCAGGCAUCUUUGAGGGAAGAAAACUCCCUUCCCAGCCCAGCCACUUAAAGAGUCAUUAUGGCGCUACCUCUUACAGGUGGCAGCAAAGGAUCUCUUUAAAUAGCCGGUUAAAUGCAUGCGCAUGUACACAAUGUACUGUGGAAUUACCGGGUGCUGGUCUGGCCUUUCUGCCAAGAACAGUCAUCGUGGCGGGUGGGAGGGAUAGGGCAGGAACCAAAGAAAGUUGUUCCUUUUCGUUUUCUGAACAAUAAAUGAAGCAGGAUUUCAAGUCACUGCCUUUUUUUUUUUUUCAGGAUCUCCUGUAGCCCGGUCUCUCACCUCUAACUCACUGUAUACAGGAAGACGAUUUUGAACUAAUCAUCCCGCCUCUAUCUUCACAGCCCCGUAAUUACAAACCUUGGCCAGCAUGCUGAAUUUAUAGUACUGGAGAUCCAAUCCAGGCUCUUCCAUGCUAGGAAAGCAAGCUCUCUACCAAAUGAGCUGCACCCCCGCUGGCUGUUAUAUGUCAGUCAGGGGGGAAAAAAAAAGUAAAAGAAACAGGGCAUGGUGGCAUUAACUGCCGCACUAGGGAGGCAGAGGCAGGUAGAUCUCUGAGUUCAAGGCCAGCCUGUUUGGUGUAUAGAGUGAGUUCCUGGUCAGCCAGGGCUAUUUAGAGAAAUCCUGUCCAAAGGGAAAAACCACUUAAGAGAAAAAUUAUAGAAACACUAACCCCAAAUGCCAUCAGAAAUGUUAGCUCCAUUCUGCGUUUGAAAGAGGAAGGUUGUGGGUGUCCAGUUAGAAGGCUUAGGGUCCAGUCUCCCUCACCUGCAAAGUGUACCAGGGUGGCCACUCUGGGAGUAUGGGUUCCUCUUCUGGGCAUUAGACACUCAGGCCAUAUGGGGAGGUACUUCUUUGGUUUAGGCUGGUUAACUCUUUGGACCUUUAGCCUAGGCUACACCACUGUCCACACUGGCUCAGGCUACACUGUCCUGAAAUCUUCCAUAGCCCUCUGAAGUCUGUCUUGGGAUUGAUCUCCUUAAGGUCUUCCAGGACAGGUACCAGGGACCUUUGUUAGGCUCCACAGAAAUCUACACCUGCAGGGAAAUAUGAAAGGAUACCUUCAGAUUAUAAUUUAAUCUUUUUUAAAAAACGAUUUGAUUUGAUUUAUGUGUGUGUGUACACACAUGCGUGUGUAUACGGCUGCAUGCUGUGUGUGACAGGCAGUGGUAAGCCCUUGGAUGUGGGUGCUGGGAACCAAAUGUGGGUCUUCUGAGACAUCUGCAGCCCACAUAACAUCACUUGAAAACAUGAAUACAGAAACAGGAUUGUACUGAGUGUGUGUGCGCACAUGUCUGUGAGUGUGUGCUAGACAGAGUCUCUCACUUGCCUGGAACUCAUGGAGUAGGGUAGGCCUCAGAUACCCACCUGUUUCUGUCUUCCCAGUGGCUGGGUUGCAAUCAUACACCUCCACACUUGUCUUUUGUUGCUGUGUUGUUUUGAAACCAUGGAUUCUGGAGUUGGCGAAUCUCCCUGGUCCUUAUUCAGAGUUUCUGAAAAGGCAUUUACCAUGCUUCAUCCCUUCUGGCUUUGAGCUGUAUGAUAUCUCCCCUUACCUUUAAUUCUUAUGUAUCCCUGCUUUCCUUACGCAUGAUGCUGGUGCUCACAUGACGAAGAAUAGCAGAUGCUCAUCUCCUUCAGUUACUAGACAAUAAAGACGCUGAAAACCGAAGGAAGAAGCAAAAAUAAAUUUAUUUCUUUACUGAAAGAAGGUAAUGUCAGGGCAGGAAACGCCCUCUCAGGACACAGACCCAGGCUCAAGGUGGAAGGGUGCAUGUGUGUGCUGACGGAGGGGAAGGGCCUGCCACAAGUGUCUUACCUCUCUCUGUCUUUGGGUUCAGAGGAGAAUGUCCUCUUGGAGGAGUGCAGUUAGCCCAGGUGUUAUGAGCAGCCUACCUGUGCCAAGAGCCUUUCCAUGUGCUGCUUUGAGAGUGUUUGUUACCAGCGCCCAUUCCCUGCCUCUACAGAAAUGGAUCUCGAAUGUGCCUAGAAGGGUCUGGUGCUGAGGCGUUGUACAUACUAGGCUACCACUACUCCUAGCCCCUUGAUGAUGGGUUCAGGAAUGCUUCUACUGGCUGAGCACGCCCUCCGCUCCUCACUGGUACAGUGAGACAGGACUUCAUCACUGAGCCACUACUCCCCGUCUCCCAGCUCCUAGCUCAUGUCCCUGCAGUGUAUCCAGUAAACUAAAUUUAGACCCUCUGGGACAACAGAGAAGGAGCCAUGUGGCCCAGAUCUCUGUCUUCGUGUGCCGUGGGCCAUAUGACAUGCUUGCCUUCUCGGAUCUGAAAACCUAGGCUAGAUUUGGGUCUAGUGAAGCAACUUGGGGGUUGGGGGAAAGGCAACAAUCGGAAACUGCGCAUUUCUGUAACAAUAACUUCAGACAAAGUAAGAUGAAGAGAUUUGAAAAAUAAAUACAAUUGCCAUGAAAACCAAA
ensembl:processed_transcript 5031434O11Rik RIKEN cDNA 5031434O11 gene